UAUUGUAAUAUUUCCCCAUUAGGUCCUGGGUCCAGAUCUAGGAGAUCCCGGCUAAGGACCUGUCCAAACAUGUGCGGGCUAUCUCUGAACCCCUGAGAAUCCCUCUCGCUAGCAUCCAUCUUGGCUGAGAGAUGCAUGCACCACAAGGAAAGACUCUGAAUUAGAAUGAUUGGCCAAAGACCACCCGGAAACUAAUCCCAUCACUAAAAAACCGGAGACUGAGAGCCACGCAGCAGAGCAGUUCUCCUGGGUUCCCUUACCCUACUGCUCUCCACCCAGGUGCCCUUUCCCAAUAAAACCUCUUGCUUUGUCAGCA